rnacentral:tRNA from 2 species
GCAUCCGUAGCUCAGCUGGAUAGAGUACUCGGCUACGAACCGAGGGGUCGGAGGUUAGAAUCCUCCCGGAUGCACCA